UACGGAAGGUCCAGGCGUUAUCCGGAUUUAUUGGGUUUAAAGGGAGCGUAGGCGGCCUGUUAAGCGUGUUGUGAAAUGUAGAGGCUCAACCUCUGCACUGCAGCGCGAACUGGCGGGCUUGAGUUGGCUGAAAGUAUGCGGAAUUCGUGGUGUAGCGGUGAAAUGCUUAGAUAUCACGAAGAACUCCGAUUGCGAAGGCAGCAUGCUGUAGCCUUACUGACGCUGAAGCUCGAAGGUGCGGGUAUCGAACAGG
rnacentral:rRNA from 1 species